GCUGGCGGCGUGCCUAAUACAUGCAAGUCGAACGAACUCUGGUAUUGAUUGGUGCUUGCAUCAUGAUUUACAUUUGAGUGAGUGGCGAACUGGUGAGUAACACGUGGGAAACCUGCCCAGAAGCGGGGGAUAACACCUGGAAACAGAUGCUAAUACCGCAUAACAACUUGGACCGCAUGGUCCGAGUUUGAAAGAUGGCUUCGGCUAUCACUUUUGGAUGGUCCCGCGGCGUAUUAGCUAGAUGGUGGGGUAACGGCUCACCAUGGCAAUGAUACGUAGCCGACCUGAGAGGGUAAUCGGCCACAUUGGGACUGAGACACGGCCCAAACUCCUACGGGAGGCAGCAGUAGGGAAUCUUCCACAAUGGACGAAAGUCUGAUGGAGCAACGCCGCGUGAGUGAAGAAGGGUUUCGGCUCGUAAAACUCUGUUGUUAAAGAAGAACAUAUCUGAGAGUAACUGUUCAGGUAUUGACGGUAUUUAACCAGAAAGCCACGGCUAACUACGUGCCAGCAGCCGCGGUAAUACGUAGGUGGCAAGCGUUGUCCGGAUUUAUUGGGCGUAAAGCGAGCGCAGGCGGUUUUUUAAGUCUGAUGUGAAAGCCUUCGGCUCAACCGAAGAAGUGCAUCGGAAACUGGGAAACUUGAGUGCAGAAGAGGACAGUGGAACUCCAUGUGUAGCGGUGAAAUGCGUAGAUAUAUGGAAGAACACCAGUGGCGAAGGCGGCUGUCUGGUCUGUAACUGACGCUGAGGCUCGAAAGUAUGGGUAGCAAACAGGAUUAGAUACCCUGGUAGUCCAUACCGUAAACGAUGAAUGCUAAGUGUUGGAGGGUUUCCGCCCUUCAGUGCUGCAGCUAACGCAUUAAGCAUUCCGCCUGGGGAGUACGGCCGCAAGGCUGAAACUCAAAGGAAUUGACGGGGGCCCGCACAAGCGGUGGAGCAUGUGGUUUAAUUCGAAGCUACGCGAAGAACCUUACCAGGUCUUGACAUACUAUGCAAAUCUAAGAGAUUAGACGUUCCCUUCGGGGACAUGGAUACAGGUGGUGCAUGGUUGUCGUCAGCUCGUGUCGUGAGAUGUUGGGUUAAGUCCCGCAACGAGCGCAACCCUUAUUAUCAGUUGCCAGCAUUAAGUUGGGCACUCUGGUGAGACUGCCGGUGACAAACCGGAGGAAGGUGGGGAUGACGUCAAAUCAUCAUGCCCCUUAUGACCUGGGCUACACACGUGCUACAAUGGAUGGUACAACGAGUUGCGAACUCGCGAGAGUAAGCUAAUCUCUUAAAGCCAUUCUCAGUUCGGAUUGUAGGCUGCAACUCGCCUACAUGAAGUCGGAAUCGCUAGUAAUCGCGGAUCAGCAUGCCGCGGUGAAUACGUUCCCGGGCCUUGUACACACCGCCCGUCACACCAUGAGAGUUUGUAACACCCAAAGUCGGUGGGGUAACCUUUUAGGAACCAGCCGCCUAAGGUGGACAGAUGAU
rnacentral:rRNA from 3 species